rnacentral:pre_miRNA from 1 species
UUAACUCAAAUUUGUAUGCAGUUGGAACAGCGCCCCUGGCGGCAAACGUAGGCAAACGUUCCAACUCCAUACAAAUUUGAGUUA